CGGAGAGGGAGCAUGAGAAACGGCUCCCUAUACAAGGAAGACAGCAGGGGCGCAAAUUACCCAAUCCCCUUACAGGGAGGGAGNGACAAUAUGUAACAAUAUACGGCCUUAUACGUCGUAUGAUUGGAAUGAGUACAAUUUAAAUCCCUUAACGAGGAACAAUUGGAGGGCAAGUCUGGUGCCAGCAGCCGCGGUAAUUCCAGCUCCAAUAGCGUAUAUUAAAGUUGUUGCAGUUAAAAAGCUCGUAGUUGGACCUUGGACCUGGACAGGCGGUCCGCCUCACGGCGAGUACUGUCUUGCUGGGUCUUUCCUCUUGGCGAUCUGUUGUUUCGGCAGCAGGGAACCAGGACUUUUACUUUGAAAAAAUUAGAGUGUUCAAAGCAGGCUCGACGCCGGAAUAUAUUAGCAUGGAAUAAUAAAAUAGGACGUGCGGUUCUAUUUUGUUGGUUUUUGGAAUCGCCGUAAUGAUUAAUAGGGACAGUCGGGGGCAUUAGUACUCACAUGCUAGAGGUGAAAUUCUUGGAUUUUGUGAAGACUAACUUCUGCGAAAGCAUUUGCCAAGGAUGUUUUCAUUAAUCAAGAACGAAGGUUAGGGUAUCGAAAACGAUUAGAUACCGUUGUAGUCUUAUCAGUAAACUAUGCCGACUAGGGAUCGGUCGAUGUUAUCUUUUUGACUCGAUCGGCACCUUACGAGAAAUCAAAGUUUUUGGGUUCUGGGGGGAGUAUGGUCGCAAGGCUGAAACUUAAAGAAAUUGACGGAAGGGCACCACCA
rnacentral:rRNA from 1 species